CCGAGGGUUUAGAAGCCCCAAAGGUUUAGAAGCCCCGAGGGUUUAGAAGCCCCAAAGGUUUAGAAGCCCCGAGGGUUUAGAAGCCCCGAGGGUUUAGAAGCCCCAAGGGUUUGGAAGUCGAGGUCUGAAGGUUAAGCCUUGAAGGUUUAGAAGCCCCGAGGGUUUAGAAGCCCCAAAGGUUUAGAAGCCCCAAAGGUUUAGAAGCCCCAAAGGUUUAGAAGCCCCAAAGGUUUAGAAGCCCCAAAGGUUUAGAAGCCCCGAGGGUUUGGAGGUCUGAAGGUUAAGCCUUGAAGGUUUAGAAGCCCCGAGGGUUUAGAAGCCCUGAGGUCUGAAUACACAUUUUUCAUGAACAAUAAACUGAAGUACUCUUGACUGAAAGAGCUAUGUUCUGUGUGUGUGUAUGUAUGUAUACACACCAGCCCUUACUAUGCCAGUCCUCAUUACCCACAGGGCUCAAUUAACACUUAAGCCUGCUAACAGCCUGCGAAGCUGUAAAAUAACAAAAUGGAAAACAGCUAUAAAUUCACCUCCUAAUUGUCUUGCCUUCUACUUGACUCCAUUCGCUUCAUUGGACUCCUAAAAUAAAUGUAAGAUUCUGUGCCUUGUGGCAGAAAAACAUCAAGCCAUGGUCCCAAUAAUCUCUCCUUCCUCCUCAUGUGUUCCCUCGUUCACUACUC
ensembl:lncRNA